rnacentral:tRNA from 1 species
UCAAUAUGCAAUCACCCAUUCGUGUGGCGUCAGUCGCUACGCCCAAACCGCGCAGUCAUACCGGUGGCGCAUGCUG